rnacentral:pre_miRNA from 13 species
AAUCUAGUGGAAACAUUUCCACAGACUCAAUUAUGGGUGGCAGUGUGCAGAAGUGCUUCUGCUACAUU